GUUUUUUUUUCAUCAUUUAAUUUCACAUGUUCAUUGUGACAUCAUCAUUACUCAUCACAUUCUAUUAGGAUUCCUUUGAUCUUAAGUCCAUAAAUAGGUGUCCUUUGCUCUAAAGUCCAUAUAGUAACCCAAACCCUAUGUCCAUUCAGUUAUAACCUCACUGAACAGGCAAACAGCUUAUACGCUUGACUGUAAUUUGAGACACUUUUUGUAGUGAACAAGGAACACAGUUAGUACUGUUGCAAGUAGUAGUAGAUUUUAACUUUACUUAAAUUACAAAAAUGGCUGAGUCACCCUCCAUUCCCAGUGAUGUGAUGGAAGAGAAUGAAAACCUUCGCCAGCAAGUGAGGGAAUUCAAAAAUGAGAACGAAAACCUCCGACAAAAUAUUGAAGAGCUUCUCAUACAACUCAAAAGCUCUGAAGAUGAGAAAAAUAUAAUUAGGCAAUAUAACAAAACUCUGGAACAGGAACUUACCAAAACGAUAAAUGAUUGUCGGAUGGAACUUACCAAAACGAUAAAUGAUUGUUGGAUGGAAAUGAGACGAAAUGAAGAGGUUCUGCAAGAAGAAAUGCACCGUCAACAGGAAGAGUAUGAAAUGGAGAAGCUGGCAUUGCAGCAAAAAGUUGAAAAUCUCCAAACGGACAACCAGGUGUUCACAACGGAAAAUGAUGUUACAAUACGGAGCAUGGGUGGCCUGAACCAGACUUUUCAAAAGGAAAAAGAUAAAAUGAGACAACAAAUCCAGGCUCACCAAAAUGACAUCCAUGAGGCAAACACAACCCCGGAAACUUUCAAAGAAUUUAAGGAACUGUUUGAGGCAAUAAAGCAGGAAAUUGAGUUUCUGAACAAUCACAACCAAGACCUGAAACAAGACAUUGAAGCAAAAAACAUUGCUGUUCAGGAAGAAAUUCAGGAGCUCAAAUCUGUUUUGCAAGGACUCAAAUCCGUUGAAACUGACAGUAACAGAAUAAGGCAACAAAACAAUGGUCUGAAACAGGAAGUCCAGGAGCUUACCAAAAAGUUGGCUGAUUGUCAGAAGGAAAUGAGACAAAAUGAAGAGGGUCUGCAUGAAAAAAUGCGCCGUAAGCAUGAAGAGUAUGACAUGGAGAAGCUGAAAUUGGAGUUCAUAGUUGAAGAUCUUGAAUCGAACAACCUGGCAUUCAGAUCAGAACAUGAUGCUACAAUACGGAGCAUGUGUGACCUGAAGCAGACAUUUCAAAAGGAAAAAAAUAAAAUGAGACAGCAAAUCCAGUCUCUCCAAAAUGACAUCCAAGAGGCAAACGCAACCCUAGAAACUUUCAAAGAAUUUAAGGGCCUGUAUGAGGAAUUAAAGCAGGAAAAUGAGUCUCUGAACAAUCAAAACCAAGACCUGAAACAAGAAAUUGAAGCAAAAAACAUUGCUAUUCAGGAAGAAGUUCAGGAGAUCAAAUCUGUUUUGCAAGGACUCAAAUCCUUUGAAGAAGAGAGUAACAGAAUAAAGCAACAAAACAACGCUCUGGAACAGGAAGUCCAGGAACUUACCAAAAAGUUGGCUGAUUGUCAGAAGGAAAUGAGACAAAAUGAAGAGGCUCUGCAAGAAAAAAUGCAAGCGCCUGAUAAAGGUGAACCCCAUCAAAGUAGUUUUGAGCUCACACCUAAUUCCAAUGAGUCAACUGAAAAGGAAGAGAGGAUCAAAACAAGCAAAAAUACAGACCUGGAGGAAAAAAAUAAGGACAUCCCUACAGAAAGUUCAUCUCACAUGGAAACUCCACAAGAGCAGACGCUUAAACCCAGGGACGUGGAGGAAAAGGAUCAGCGGAGAUGGAUAACAUGGCUUCAAGGUGCUGCCUUGCAUUUUGCAUUUUCUGACUACAUCUAUCCCCAUUUCUGAAAGGCAGUUCGCAGUAAGGGGAGCAUUUCUUCCCCACUUCCAUCUUUCGACUUCCCAUGUGUAUACACUCCUACAAUUCUUUCCCCUCAAGCCCCAUAGACAGUAUAGAACAGGGGUGUCCAACUCCAGUCCUCGAGAGCUACUAUCCUGCAGCUUUUAGAUGCAUCCUUGUUCUGACACACCUGAAUCAAAUGAAUGGCUUGUUAUCAGGCCUUUGCAAAAACCAGAUGUGAUAAGCAGCAGUGGAUCAAGAAAGAAAGCCGUUUUCCUAUAGAUUUCUAUAGGUUUGCAUCAGGCUAGCUGUUGCCAUCUGGUAGACUUCAGACCGAAUGUACGCUUAAGGUUCUUCUGUAUUGGCUUCAUGUUUCCAACGAACAAGCUAUGUCCAUGUUUUGUACCAUCUAUGCCCCAACCAGUCGCGGAAGAUGGCUGCCCCUUCCUGAGCCUGGUUCUUCCCUAGGUUUCUUCCUGUUAAAAGGGAGUUUUUCCUUCCCGCUGUCGCCAAGUGCUUGCUCAGAGGGGAUCGUUAGAUUGUUGGGGUUUUCUUUUAUAUUGCAGGUUCUUUACCAUGCAAUAUAAAGUUCCUUGAGGCCACUGGCUAUGAGUUGGCCUAAAUUAGCCAGUGGUCACAUUACAUACAUAGCUAUUU
ensembl:lncRNA